UAAUAAGAAAUAAAUUAUUAUAAUUAGUUUCGACCUAAUCCUUGGCCUAUGGCCCUUAUUUU
rnacentral:tRNA from 1 species